UCUCCUGUAGCUCAGUGGUAGAGCGUCCGACCGGUGCGCGGAAGGUCAUAGGUUCGACUCCUGUUGGGGGAA